AGGGACUCAAAGUUCACAGAUCUGACAUGAUCUCAUCCUGUCUGAAAGAGACUGUGGAUGAAACGAUUCAGUCUGACUCUUCUCGCAGUGAACACUUGAACAAUGAAUCUUCUGUCAGUUAUUUUGUUCUAUGCUUCAGCUGCUGCUGUAUUUGGAAAUGUCAUCAAACCAAACAAAACCGAUGUUUUUGCUCAGGAGGGCUCAAGUGUUACAUUAUCCUGUAGUUUUACUGCCUCUGGAGGGUCAGAUUAUCUCCACUGGUAUCGUCAGUAUGGAAGAUCAAAACCUGAAUUUCUUGUACUCACCUAUGGAAAUGCAAAAGAAGCUCAGGUAUCUGCUGUAGAUCCAAGAUUCACUGUUGAAAUUGAAAAAAAGGAACAAAUCCAUGUGUAUCUGGAGAUCUCCUCUGCUACAGUAUCAGACUCUGCUGUGUAUUACUGUGCUCUGGUGCCCACAAUGACAGGAAACACAUCAGCUCUAUACAAAAACCUGUUAUAUGAGAGAAACACAGGUAUAGUGAAAAUGAAGCUUGUAUUCAAAUAUGUAAUUAAUCUAAUGCAAAACAAUCCAAAUAUAAAAGCCACACUUGUGGCAGUAUGAAAUAUAUAUUAGAUUGAAUACCAAUAUAUUAUUUUAGUUCGCCAGUCUCUUUAGAAUAUCUUGUAUUUCAGAAAACAAAUAUCUUUAUACAUUAAACUCGAUGAAAUGGCAGUGUUUCCGCUAAGCAAAACCCACAAUUAACCAUAAGAGGACAGUAGUUAGUCAAUAUUACCUUUGACAUAGGCUACAGCUCACCUAAAUGAUUAGGAACACCUGUUCAGUUUCUCAUUAAUGCAAUUAUCUUAUAAACCAAU